GCCGCUGUGGUGGAGUGGUCUAACACGCCAGCUUUAGGCGCUGGUCCUCUUCGGAGGGCCCAGGUUCGAAACCUGGCGGCGGUA
rnacentral:tRNA from 1 species